AGCCGGGAGCAGGUGGCAGAGGCGGGCGGGUCCCCACCGCCAGCACCCACGGAGCACCGCCGGGUUUUUAGGGGCUUUGCACAUCUGCAGUACUUACAGAGACAAGGGGCUUGUUGAUUCCAGCAGAAGGGCUCUCCAGUCUGUGCUGUGGCUGUGAUAGAGUGCCUAGAACAAACACUCAGAUGAGAUCCCGGUUUCUUUCCAGACUUGAACAACAGUGCAGUUGAAAAGAGUGACAAAACAAGCUUCUUCUCAAGCUACCACACAAAAGACGUCAGUCAGGAUAUUUACAACAAACACUGGCUCCAAAUGCGAGGACUCCCAUUUCCUGGCAGUGUUGCUCUACACAGUGUUUUCUCUGGAAGGAAUCAAUUACAUCAGUGGGUUCGGGAAUGUAUGUUGAGAUGGUUUAAUCAGAGUUGAAAAUCACAGUACAGAAAGGGGCUUCAGUUCUUCUGGCUGGACACAACGUACUCCAUUUGGGAGACACUAAGGAAUUUCACUGAUACCAGACACAUUAGCUCAUCUCCAUCCAGUGUUAACAUGGCUGGUGGCAGUACUGUAUGAAUCUGAUUCAGCAAAGCACUGAAGCACAUGCUAGACAUUAAUUUCUUUAAUUAGACUUAGACAUGUGCUCUGGGGUGAGGAUGUGCCACAAUACCCACAGAAAUCACGGCUCCGUUCAUCAGGUAAUUUGUUUCGACCAGUGAAUUCCUCCGUAGACAGAAGUUUUGUCAUGUUCCCCAUAUGUUCCCCCUGUCUGUUGCUUGGCUCUCCCUGUUGACUUUAUUCUUACAGUUCUAGGCAGUCUUUCAGAACUUAACACUUCCUCUUCAUUAUACAUUUGUACAACAUCUAGUACAAAUAAGGCUGUGGUUUCUAUAGCUCUUGUAACACCAGUUAUUACGACAGGAAUGGAUUAAGUGCAAGCUUUACUGCCUUCCUAAAUAGAGGCUUAUAGUUAGACCCUAAUCUUUCUUAUGUUUUCCUCGGUGUAUGAAAUGGGUCUUUACUCAUCCCAGCUUGCUUUAGAUCCCCAUGGGGCAAAAUGCCUGUGAGUGGAAUAACAUCUAUUUAAAAGGAUCAAUAGGAAGCAAGAAGUGAAGAUUAAAAGGUCUGGAAAACUUCUAAGACUUCAGCUGAUACGUUGUGUAACACCAAGUUUGUAGCAAGAUGACAGAAGCCGCGUUCCUAUGUGACUUGACAAGCUAUGGAAAUGCCAAAUGUUUCUGCAGUAAGCUAAUCUGCUGAUAAGAAAUUAAAGCAGUGGUUAAUUAGAGACCAGGUUCAAGGGAAAGCUCAGCUGAGCCUACACAGUUAUUGCUUCACUGAUAGAGCAUGAGGUUUCAAAAGAAGCACUGAGUAUAGGCAGGUAACCUGCAAGAGAAGGGCCAAAGCCCACUCUGUUCCACCAGUGUAAAAUUUAUUGUCAGUAGGAGCAGAUUCAGACUGAUAAUCAUCAGUAAGUUUCAGUGAACUGGCUGCUUAAUUGUGUGAGAGUUGCGAGAGAAAGAUAAAGGUGGAUCUAAGUCAUUAUCCAGGGGCAAGUUCUAACAGUGCUGGACAAACAUUUUGCUGAAGGGUCUUUCUUAGGCACUGGGUUUUUAUCUGAAUUCUAUCAACUGCAUUCCUAGGAGGAGGAAAAAACCCACAAGAGCAAACCCUCACCAAGAGAAGAAACAGUACGUGUUUGAUUGACAGCCAUGUAUUCUUCUGUUUUGUUUUAAAUUAGGAUUUUCAAAGGGGUAGGGCUAAGGAGCUUCUCUUGCAGAAGACCGAGGGUCACAUCCCUUGCCUGUCUAAACCAAGUUGGCUUAAUUGACUCCUUUGCUGAUUUAUAGCAGCUGAGUGUCUGCACUGAAAGUAUAGACCCAACAAAGAACCAGCAGCACACCCAUGCCUGUUCUUCCAUGAUUCCAAGUACAGCAUGAUUCAUACCCAAGUACAGGAGAAGUGGAAUGCAAAAAGCAAACACAAGACAAGGUGAAAAGUAAUUACAUUUCCUUGACUGUAGAUUAAAGAAAGAGGAAAAAAAGCCUAGCACUAAAAAUUCAUUAGAUUCUUUCUCUUUAGAAACCUGUAAACUAUGAAGGCAGGCUCUUUAUUGAAUUAAGUUUUUUGGCAGAAAAAAUAAAUAUUGUUGUGUGAAUUAUUGGAACAUGCAUCCAAUUAAAAUCCUAAAACAGAAAUGCACUGUUAAUGUAAGGGCUAUUAAGCUGAGCUGAAAUGCAUAGAUCAUAUUUAAACUGAAAGGAGGUAAAUAAUCCAUUGCACUUAUGUGAUUGCCAUUGGCAGAAAAGGAAGUAAUGCAGAAUUAUGAUAAAGGGUGCAGCCAAUAAUGGAAGCUGUGGCUGGCGUCCCAGAAAGAGACACCACCCAGAACUGGUGAGUAAAGCAAGUAGUAAGAUAAAUAAAGUAGUAGCAAGACCAAGUACACGAUCUGUUUUGUUGAUCAUAGGCCUACACAACCAUUCUCUGCAUGCAGAGAGGCCUGGCCAACCACUGAAAUUGCAAGGCAUAGAACACUGGGGUGGAGAAGCCUUGGCUAACCUGAAAUUAUGGGCUGCUGGCAUUUAAUCCUGCUGUGUGACAGGCAGGUGGGUGUACAUGUGUGUGUACUGGUGCAUGGACUGCUCUCCAUUUCAGCCCAAACUGGAAGGUGACAGUUUGCUUUGGUUAGUUUUAAAUGGUUUGAAUUGUGUAAACAUUAAUUUCACAGUCACAGGCUGAGAUAGUAGAGACUGUGAGAAGAAAAAUUUAAGAAAAAUGUGUGUACAAGAGUAGAAAGGGUUGCUGCUCUGUGCUGCAGAGGAGAAGAAAACUUUCUGCAAGAUGGACAGAACAGCCAACUUUAACAGGAAUUACCCCAUAGGGGCAAAGUAUUUUCUUAGUGAGAACAGAGAGUGAUUUUUAUUUUUGCCACAGAAGAUAUUAAGGCUCACUAUCUGUGAUGGAGUCUUUCUGACUUCAGAACCAGCAGAGCAAUACUGUGUGUCCAAUAUCAAGUCACAAAACAAUUUAUUUGCCUUUUCCAUCAGAACACACUGUUCCUACAGGGGCAUAAUUUUACAGCUCAACACUCGUGCUGGCUCUGAAAGCUUCUAUUAAGACAGAAAUCUCCCAGAUAAUAGAAAACUGUCUUAGGCCCCGUUCUAUCGGAUCUCAGCUGCUGUCUGUCCAUUUGGGAGUUUAUAGCAAGCUCAUCUUUGCAAUAAUAAAGAGACUUUAUAAGAGGUCUUAAAAGGCCAACAGUUUCCAACAGCAUCCCUGUCCUCCUUCCCCCACUGUUGCCUCUUUUUCCUCCGUUGUUUCUGGGAAUGAGGCAUCACUGCAAGUCAGAUCUGCUAGGGAUGAGAGACCUUGCACUGAGUUUGGGGGGUGUCAAGAUUUGAUACCAUUUUGACCUCCAGUGCCAACGUACCCUGCAGCCCAGGGGUAUAAUCACCCCAGUGCUGCCCACAAGGGCACUCGCUGUGAUACCCUCAUCUUUCACCUCCAUAGCUGUGCUGCUCUCUGA